UACGUAGGGGGCAAGCGUUGUCCGGAAUUAUUGGGCGUAAAGAGCGUGUAGGCGGUCCGGUAAGUCCGCUGUGAAAGUCAAGGGCUCAACCCUUGAAUGCCGGUUGAUACUGUCGGGCUAGAGUCCGGAAGAGGCGAGUGGAAUUCCCGGUGUAGCGGUGAAAUGCGCAGAUAUCGGGAGGAACACCAAUGGCGAAGGCAGCCCCCUGGGAUAACACUGACGCUCAUGCACGAAAGCGUGGGGAGCAAACAGG
rnacentral:rRNA from 1 species